rnacentral:rRNA from 1 species
CCCGGGUAAGGCCGCGUCGACAAAGUCUGACCGAGCAACGCCGCGUGAGUGAAGAAGGUUUUCGGAUCGUAAAACUCUGUUUGGUAGAGAAGAACGUUGGUGAGAGUGGAAAGCUCAUCAAGUGACGGUAACUACCCAGAAAGGGACGGCUAACUACGUGCCAGCAGCCGCGGUAAUACGUAGGUCCCGAGCGUUGUCCGGAUUUAUUGGGCGUAAAGCGAGCGCAGGUGGUUUAUUAAGUCUGGUGUAAAAGGCAGUGGCUCAACCAUUGUAUGCAUUGGAAACUGGUAGACUUGAGUGCAGGAGAGGAGAGUGGAAUUCCAUGUGUAGCGGUGAAAUGCGUAGAUAUAUGGAGGAACACCGGUGGCGAAAGCGGCUCUCUGGCCUGUAACUGACACUGAGGCUCGAAAGCGUGGGGAGCAAACAGGAUUAGAUACCCUGGUAGUCCACGCCGUAAACGAUGAGUGCUAGAUGUAGGGAGCUAUAAGUUCUCUGUAUCGCAGCUAACGCAAUAAGCACUCCGCCUGGGGAGUACGACCG